CAGUAACACGUGGACAACCUACCCUUAGGUCGGGGAUAAACCCGGGAAACUGGGUAUAAUACCCGAUAGUCCUCGGAUGCUGGAAUGCACCGAGGUCUAAAGCUCCGGCGCCUAAGGAUGGGUCUGCGGCCUAUCAGGUAGUAGUGGGUGUAGCGUACCUACUAGCCUACGACGGGUACGGGUUGUGAGAGCAAGAGCCCGGAGAUGGAUUCUGAGACACGAAUCCAGGCCCUACGGGGUGCAGCAGGCGCGAAAACUUUACAAUGCUGGAAACAGCGAUAAGGGAACCUCGAGUGCCAGGUUACAAAUCUGGCUGUCGUGAUGCCUAAAAAGCAUUGCAUAGCAAGGGCCGGGCAAGACCGGUGCCAGCCGCCGCGGUAACACCGGCGGCUCGAGUGGUAACCGCUAUUAUUGGGUCUAAAGGGUCUGUAGCCGGCCGGAUAAGUCUUUUGGGAAAUCUGGCAGCUUAACUGUCAGGCUUUCAGAGGAUACUGUCUGGCUCGAGGCCGGGAGAGGUGAGAGGUACUUCAGGGGUAGGGGUGAAAUCUUGUAAUCCUUGAAGGACCACCAGUGGCGAAGGCGUCUCACCAGAACGGACCUGACGGCAAGGGACGAAAGCUAGGGGCACGAACCGGAUUAGAUACCCGGGUAGUCCUAGCCGUAAACGAUACUCGCUAGGUGUCGGCCACGGUGCGACCGUUGUCGGUGCCGUAGGGAAGCCGUGAAGCGAGCCACCUGGGAAGUACGGCCGCAAGGCUGAAACUUAAAGGAAUUGGCGGGGAAGCAC
rnacentral:rRNA from 1 species